ACUAAGUUUCAACAACGGAUCUCUUGGCUCUCGCAUCGAUGAAGAACGCAGCGAAAUGCGAUAAGUAAUGUGAAUUGCAGAAUUCAGUGAAUCAUCGAAUCUUUGAACGCACCUUGCGCUCCUUGGUAUUCCUUGGAGCAUGCCUGUUUGAGUAUCAUGAAUU
rnacentral:rRNA from 2 species